UACAGAGGUCCCGAGCGUUGUUCGGAAUUAUUGGGCGUAAAGAGCUCGUAGGCGGUCUGUUGCGUCCGCUGUGAAAACCCAGGGCUUAACCCUGGGCUGGCAGUGGAUACGGACAGACUAGAGGUAGGUAGGGGAGAAUGGAAUUCCCGGUGUAGCGGUGAAAUGCGCAGAUAUCGGGAGGAACACCGGUGGCGAAGGCGGUUCUCUGGGCCUUACCUGACGCUGAGGAGCGAAAGCGUGGGGAGCGAACAGG
rnacentral:rRNA from 1 species